CCUUCUUUGCAAGCGUUUUUUUUACUAAGCCAUUUAAAGAUCCUAUUUCUGGAGGCAGAGAGAGCAGACUCCGUUCCCCUUGGCAUCAUGUCUUUGGUGCCAGCGGCUACCCGUCCGCUGGUUCUAUCCUCAAACGCUGGGACAAGG
ensembl:snoRNA